AGAACAAAAAAAGCCAGGUACAAAUUCCGUGUACCUGGCUCAGGGGAAUGGCUCAUUAGCUGAGCCGUGCGCUAGUAAGAGAACACCCGACGCCGGGCGCCCUCUGUAUAAAUUUUAGACUUUAAUCCUGAGUCCGCCAGCCA
rnacentral:sRNA from 1 species